rnacentral:misc_RNA from 1 species
UUAAGUUCAGCGGGUAUCCCUACCUGAUCCGAGGUCAACCACGAGAGUUGGGGUUCUGGCAGGCUACCACCGGGCACUGGAGCGAGAGACGUACUACGCUCAGGGCCAGGCGGCACCGCCACUGUCUUUAGGGCCGGCCGCAACGGGCAGUCACCCAACACCAAGCUGAGCUUGAAGGUUUAAAUGACGCUCGAACAGGC